GAAAUAACUCUGCUGGAUGCUGCACUAUAUACUGGGGAUAUAUGAAGAGUAAAACAGACUUCCUGGGAAGCUCACAUCCAGCGCGGGGACAGACAGAUGACAUGAUCUUAUACACAGAAAAUCCUAAGGAAUCCUCCAGAAAACUACUGAAACUAAUAGAAGAGUUCAGCAGAGCAUCAGGAUACAAGAUAAACAUACAAAAAUCAGUUCGCUUCCUCUACAGCAACAAAAAGAGCAUCGAAGAGGAAAUCACCAAAUCAAUGCCAUUUACAGUAGCCCCCAAGAAGAUAAAAUACUUAGGAAUAAAUCUUCCCAGAGAUGUAAAAGACUUAUACAAAGAAAAUUACAGUACACUUCUGCAAGAAACCAAAAGAGACUUACAUAAGUGGAAGAACAUACCUUGCUCAUGGAUAAGAACACUUAACAUUAUAAAAAUGUCUAUUCUACCAAAAGUGAUCUGUACAUUUAAUGCAAAAAAAAAAAAAAAUGCAAUUCUGAUCCAAAUCCCAACGACAUUCUUUAAUGAGAUGGAGAAACAAAUCACCAACUUCAUAUGGAAGGGAAAGAGGCCCCAGAUAAAUAAGGCAUUACUGAAAAAGAAGAACAAAGUAGGAGGCUUUACUUUACCUGAUUUUAGAGCCUAUUAUACCAUCACAGUAGUCAAAGCAGCCUGGUACUGGUACAACAACAGAUACAUGGACCAAUGGAACAGAAGUGAGAAUCCAGACAUAAAUCCAUCCACAUAUAAGCAGUACAUAUUUGACCAAGGCCCCAAAACCGUUAAAUGGGGAAAAGACAGCCUUUUUAACAAAUGGUGCUGGCAUAACUGGAUAACCAUCUGCAAAAAAAUGAAACAAGACCCAUACCUCACUCCGUGCACAAAAACUAACUCAAAAUGGAUCAAAGACCUAAAUAUAAAAUCUAAAACGAUAAAGAUCAUGGAGGAAAAAAUAGGGACAACGUCAGGAGCCCUAAUACAUGGCAUAAACGGUAUAGAAAACAUUAUAAAGAAUGUAGAAUAAAAACUAGAUAACUGGGAGCUCCUAAAAAUCAAACACCUAUGCUCAUCCAAAGACUUGACCUAAAGAGUAAAAAGACUACCUGCAGACUGGGAAAAAGUUUUUAGCUAUGACAUUUCCAAUCAGCACCUGAUCUCUAAAAUCUACAUGAUACUGCAAAAACUCAACUGCAAAAAGACAAAUAACCCGAUUAAAAAAUGGGCAAAAGAUAUGAAUACACACUUCACUAAAGAAGACAUUCAGAUAGCUAACAGAUAUAUGAGGAAAUGUUCACGAUCACUAGCCAUUAGAGAAAUGCAGAUCAAAACUACAAUGAGAUUCCAUCUCACUCCAACAAGGCUGGCAUUAAUCAAAAAAACACAAAAUAAUAAAUAUUGGAGAGGUUGUGGUGAGAUUGGAACACUUACACACUGCUGGUGGGAAUGUCAAAUAGUACAACCACUUUGGAAAUCGAUUUGGUGCUUCCUUAAAAAGCUAGAAAUAGAACUGUCAUACGAUCCAGCAAUCCCACUCCUUGGAGUAUAUCCUAGAGAAAUAAGAGCCUUUACACAAACAGAUAUAUGCACACCCAUGUUUAUUGCAGCACUGUUUACAAUAGCAAAAACAUGGAAGCAACCAAGAUGCCCAUCAACGGAUGAAUGGAUAAAUAAAUUAUGGUAUAUUCACACAAUGGAAUACUACACAUGGAUAAAGACCAGUGAGGAAUCUGUGAAACAUUUCAUAACAUGGAGGAACCUGGAAGGCAUUAUGCUGAGUGAAAUUAGUCAGUUAUAAAAGGACAAAUAUUGUAUAAGACCACUAUUAUAAGAACUUGAGAAGUAGUUUAAACUGAGAAGAAAACAUUCUUUUGUGGUUUCGAGAAGGGGGAGAAGGGAGGGUGGGAAAGGAGCAUUCACUAAUUAGAUAGUAGAUAAGAACUACUUUAGGUGAAGGAAGAGGCAGCACACAAUACAGUGGAGGUCAGCACAAUUGGACUAAACCAAAAGCAAAGAAGUUUCCUGAAUAAACUGAAUGCUUUCAAGGCCAGCGUAGCAGGGGCAGGGGUCUGGGGACCAUGGUUUCAGGGGACAUCUAAGUCAAUUGGCAUAAUAAAAUCUAUUAAGUAAACAUUCUGCAUCCCACUUUGAAGAGUGGUGUCUGGGGUCUUAAACGCUAGCAAGCAGCCAUCUAAGAUGCAUCAAUUGGUCUCAACCCACCGGGAUUAAAGGAGAAUGAAGAACACCAAGGCACAAGGCAAUUACAAGCCCAAGAGGCAGAAAGGGCCACAUGAACCAGAGACUACCUCAUCCUGAGACCAGAAGAACUAGAUGGUGCCCGGCUACAACCGAUGACAGGGAACACAACAGAGAACCCCUUAGGGAGCAGGAGAGCAGUGGGAUGCAGACCCCAAAUUCUCAUAAGACCAGUCUUAAUGGUCUGACUGAGACUAGAAGGACCCCGGUGGUCACGGCCCCCAGACCUUCUGUUGGCCCAGGACAGGAACCAUUCCCGAAGCCAACUCUUCAGACAUGGAUUGGACUGGACAAUGGGUUGGAGAAGAUGCUGGUGAGGAGUGAGCUUCUUGGAUCAGGUGGACUCUUGAUAUUAUGUUGGCGUCUCCUGCCUGGAGGGGAGAUGAGAGGGUGGAGGGGGUUAGAAGCUGGCAAAAUGGACACGAAAAGAGAGAGUGGAGGGAGAGAGCAGGCUGUGUCAUUAGGGGGAGAGUAAUUGGGAGUGUGUAGGAAGGUAUAUAUGUUUGUUUUUUUUUCUGAGAGAUUGACUCAAUUUGUAAACUUUCACUUAAAAAAAGCACAAUAAAAAUUAUUAAAAAAAAAAUUGCCAAAAUUAAACAGCUAGUUAGUGGUGAAACAAGGAGGCCAGGUGGUACAAUGGUUAAGCACUCGGCUGCUAACUAAAAGGUUGACCGCUCAAACCCACCCAGUGGCUCCAAGGGAGAAAGACCUGGUGAUCUGCUUCCAUAAAGACAUAGCCAAGAAAACCCUAUGGGGCGGUUCUACUCUGUCACAUGGGGUCACUACGAGUUGAAAUCGAUUUUACAGCACCCAACAGCAGCAGCAGUAUUUCUUGAGCAUUUGCUAUGUGCCAACUGUACUCGCUCAUCCGUCAGCAAACACUGUCAUAGGUUCAGAUGUGCACAAUAUGAAAACUACUGGACUUGUCCUCAAACCUCUUUUUUCUACUUUUAAAACAUAAUAUGUUUAUCCCGAUUUUACAGAUGAAAAAACCGAGACACAGAGAAGCCAAGCCGCCCAUAUGUUCUCAGCUCAAAGACAUAGAGCUUUGAUUUAAAAUCAUCUUUACUCCUAAUCUUUACCUUUUUUUUCUUUUUAAUGAGAUCAUACUUAUACAUUAUAACUUUUUUUUCCCAGUUAAUGUAUCACAGACAUCUUUCAGGUCAGUGCAGAGCUAACUCAUUUCUUUCUUAAUAGCUAGUUAAUAUUCCGUAAUGGAAAUCUACAUUUAGUCUCUUCAUUUCACUUUAUUCUUUAUGUGGUGGACAUCCAAUCAUAUGUAACUUUAUAUCCUGGGUUUUUUUUCCACUUCACUUUCUCCAGUCAUUUCCCCUCACAAUAACUAGCAUGUCUCUCCUCUGAGUUAGUCAUGACAUAGGGACAGGAAUCAAAGGAGACCAGAAUAUCAGCUGUAUUGUUGGUGAGGCCUAUCCAGAGAACACAACAUGGAUCUCUUUCUCCCACAUUCCUCCUGAACUGACUGACCCAGGCUUCAGCUUAGGGGCCAAGGGCAGAGCUGUGCUGAUGAGCAUCCACAGGGAGGAGAAGAUAGUGACUGUUAUUAGAGCCUGCCCAGCUCUCCUCCCCAGAAGUGAAAUAUUAUCUCCUCUGUGGAAGUAAGGAGCCUUGGUGGCACAGUGGUUAAAGUGCUCAGCUACUAACCAGAAGGUUGGCCGUUCAAACCCACCAGCUGCUCCACAGGAGAAAGGUGUGGCACUCUGCUUCUGUAAAGAUUACAGCCUUGGAAACCCUAUAGGGCAGUUCUACUCUGUCCUAUAGGAUUGCUAUAAGUCAGAAUUGAUUCAGUGGCAGCUGGUUUGUUUUUUAUUUUUCCUUUGGUGGCACAAGGGUUAAGUGAGCGGCAGCUUACCAAAAGGUUGGCAGUUCGAACCCACCCAGCGACUCUGAGGAAGAAAGACCUGGCGAUCUACUUCCAUAAAAAUCACAGCCACGAAAACCCUAUGUGGCAGUUCUACUCUGUCACCUGGGGUCUCUAUGAGUCGGUGUCUUAGUCAUCUAGUGCUGCCAUAACAGAAAUACCACAAGUGGAUGUCUCUAACAAAGAGAAAUUUAUUUUCUCACAGUCUAGUAGGUUACGAGUCCAAAUUCAGGGCGUUGGCUCCAGGGGAAGCCUUUCUCUCUCUGUCGGCUCUGGAGGAAAGUCCUUGUCCUCAAUCUUCCCAUGGUCGAGGAGCUUCUCAGGGGCAGGGACCCCAGGUCGAAAGGACAUGCUCUGCUCCUGGUGCUGCUUUCUUGUUGGUAUAAGGUCCCCAACUCUCUGCUUGCUUCUCUUUCCUUUUAUAUCUCAAGAGAUAAAAGGUGGUGCAGGCCACAGCCCAGGGAAACUCCCUUUACCUUGGAUCAGGGAGGUGACCAGAGUAAGGGUAGUGUUACAAUCCCACCCUAAUCCUCUUAACAUAAAAUUACAAUCACAAAAUGAAGGACAACCACACAAAACUGGGAAUCCUGGCCUAACUAAGUGGAUAACAUAUUUUUGAGGGGACGUAAUUCAAUCCAUGACAGUCGGAAUCAACUCAGUGGCACCUAACAACAAAAGCAACAUGGAAAUGUGAAGCAGAAGUGGUUCUGUCUGAGAGACGACAAAACUGAGGCUCUGAGAGAUGGGUGGUCAGUGGCCUAAACUGCUUGCCUGCCCUUAGAAUAGCCAGCCCCUGGCUGAUAAUCACAUCUGACAGGAGGGGUUGGUCAUCCCUACAAUGAGUGCUGUAACCUGAAGAACUCUGGAUCUUAAGUGUCAGUCUCCAGGGUGUCUUACCACUAAGAAAAUCCUCAGGCUUUCUUGGUUCUCUUCUCCUUUAAUAUCUUUAACAUCCUAAACACUUCUCUCUCAGACUCCAAAAGGGAGAACUGCUAGAAGAUUAAAGCUGUUACAGAAUAUCAAUUAGUUUAUAAUGAGGGAAAUCUAUAAACCUUUUGGUGGAUAUCUGGCAGGAACACAGGAUGUAGGAGUCGAUAAAUUUAUGGAAUAUUUUGUGCAUCUGUAGAAAAAAAAGGGAUUUUGUGAAUCAAACACUAUAAAUGAUUUACCAGGAUAGCAAAAGAAAAAAAAAAAAAAGUCAAAUAAAUCGCUCAGAUUGCAUCUGAAGCAUCAAGAGCUCCAGUGUUUGGGAAAGAAUCGUUUCUGUAGUAGAAAAUAGCUGCAUUAUAUUUCCAGAAAGGUGAUGCUUCUAUUGAGAUGGGUGAGCCUUCUACAUUUUAAAAACUUGGCACAGCAAGACUGUGCUGAAUUGCUGAUGUUCUCCUGUUUUUCUUGUGAGGAUUAAAGUCUAACCUUUUCUACUGCUUUAGUGUUUCUUUAAAAACAUAAUGGGGGAAAGCAAAACCCAAUGGUGCAUGUUAUUGAAGGUCCUUGGAAAGGCCCCCAAGGAGAGUACCACAGAACUGCCCCCCUCUGUCAUAGUCUGUCUUUAGAAAGCUCCUGGGCCCUUCUGCUGGCUUAGUCUAACAUGAGUUGCUAUUUACUCAGAGUCUAGAGGGAGAUGAGAUUUGAAGCUGAAAUACAAGUAAGAGGUUCCUUAGGUACCUAACCUGGUAGAGCGCAAACCAGCCAAGUCCUAGUCACAUCAUUCUCAUUUAGCUCAAUAAUUGGGGAACUGUGAAAGGGCAGGUUCUGCCUGCAUUUUGGACAGGAAUAGGCAAUAAUAGCAGUAAUAAUAAUGCUUAAAACCAAACCCAUUGCCAUCAAGUCAGCUCUGACUCCUAGAAAACCUAAAAGGACAGAGUGGGACUGCCUCAUAGGGUUUCCAAGGAGCACCUGGUGGAUUUGAACUGCCAACCUUUUGGUUAGCAGCUGUAGCUCUUAACCAGUACGCCACCAGGCUUUCCAUAAUAAUGCUAAGUAGCAUCUAUAUAGCACUUAUUAUAUGCCAGAUACAGUUGUAAGUAAUGUAAAUAUAUCUACAUCUGUGGAAAGAGACGAUGGAAAAGCUCAAUAUCAUCAGUCAGAACAAGGCCAGGGGCCGACUGUGGAACAGACCAUCAAUUGCUCAUAUGCAAGUUCAAGCUGAAACUGAAGAAAAUCAGAGCAAGUCCACGAGAGCCAAAAUAUGACCUUGAGUAUAUCCCACCUGAAUUUAGAGACCAUCUCAAGAAUAGAUUUGAUGCAUUGAACACUAAUGACCGAAAACCAGACGAGUUGUGGAAUGACAUCAAGGACAUCAUCCGUGAAGAAAGCAAGAGGCCACUGAAAAGACAGGAGAGAAAGAAAAGAUGGAUGUCAGAGGAGACUCUGAAACUUGCUCUUGAGCAUCGAGCAGCUAAAGCAAAAGGAAGAAUUGAUGAAGUAAAAGAACUGAACAGAUUUCAAAGGGCCUCUGGAGAAGACAAAGUAAAGUAUUAUAAUGACAUGUGCUAAAGAGCUGGAGAUGGAAAACCAAAAGGGAAGAACACGCUAGGCGUUUCUCAAGCAGAAAGAACUGAAGAAAAAAUUCAAGCUUCGAGUUGCAAUAGUGAAGAAUUCCAUGGGGAAAAUAUUAAACGACGCAGGAAGCAUCAAAAGAAGAUGGAAGGAAUACACAGAGUCAUUAUACCAAAAAGAAUUAGUCGAUAUUCAAGCAUUUCAAGAGGUGGCAUAUGAUCAGGAACCGAUGAUACUGAAGGAAGAAGUCCAAGCUGCUCUGAAGGCAUUGGCGAAAAACAAGGUUCUAGGAAUUGAUGGAAUAUCAGUUGAGAUGUUUCAACAAACAGAUGCAGCUCUGGAGGUGCUCACUCGUCUAUGCCAAGAAAUAUGGAAGACAGCUUCCUGGCCAACUGACUGGAAGAGAUCCAUAUUUAUGCCUAUUCCUAAGAAAGGUGAUCCAACCGAAUGUGGAAAUUAUAGAACAAUAUCAUUAAUAUGACACGCAAGCAAAAUUUUGCUGAAGAUCAUUCAAAAACGUCUGCAGCAGUGUAUCGACAGGGAACUGCCAGAAAUUCAGGCUGGAUUCAGAAGAGGACAUGGAACCAGGGAUAUCAUUGCUGAUGUCAGAUGGAUCCUGGCUGAAAGCAGAGAAUACCAGAAGGAUGUUUACCUGUGUUUUUUGACUAUGCAAAAGCAUUUGACUGUGUGGAUCAUAACAAACUAUGGAUAAUGCUGCGAAGAAUGGGAAUUCCAGAACACUUAAUUGUGCUCUUGAGGAACCUUUACAUAGAUCAAGAGGCAGUUGUUCGGCCAGAACAAGGGGAUGCUGAUUGGUUUAAAGUCAGGAAAGGUGUGUGUCAGGGUUGUAUUCAUUCACCAUACCUAUUUAAUCUUUAUGCUGAGCAAAUAAUCCAAGAAGCUGGACUAUAUAAAGAAGACCAGUGUAUCAGGAUUGGAAGAAGACUCAUUAACAACCUGCGUUAUGCAGAUGACACAACCUUGCUUGCUGAAAGUGAAGAGGACUUGAAACACUUGCUAAUGAAGAUCAAAGACCACAGCCUUCAGUAUGGAUUACACCUCAACAUAAAGAAAACAAAAAUCCUCACAACUGGACCAAUGAGCAACAUCAUGAUAAACAGAGAAAAGAUUGAAGUUGUCAAGGAUUUCAUUUUACUUGGAUCCACAAUCAACAGCCAUGGAAGCAGCAGUCAAGAAAUCAAAAGACGCGUUGCAUUGGGCAAAUCUGCUGCAAAGGACCUCUUCAAAGUGUUGAAGAGCAAAGAUGUGACCCUGAAGACCAAGGUGUGCCUGACCCAAGCCAUGGUAUUUUCAAUCACAUCAUAUGCAUGUGAAAGCUGGACAAUGAAUAAGGGAGACCGAAGAAGAGUUGACACCUUUGAAUUGUGGUGUUGGCGAAGAAUAUUGAAUAUACCAUGGACUGCCAAAAGAACGGACAAACCUGUCUUGGAAGAAGUGCGGUCAGAAUGCUCUUUAGAGGCAAGGAUGGCGAGACUGCGGCUUACAUUACAUACUUUGGACGUGUUGUCAGGAGGGAUCAGUCCCUGGAGAAGGACAUCAUGCUUGGCAGAGUACACGGUCAGCGGAAAAGAGGAAGACCCUCAACAAGGUGGAUUGACACAGUGGCUGCAACAAUGAGCUCAAGCAUAAUGAUUGUAAGGAUGGCACAGGACCAGGCAGUGUUUCGAUCUGUUGUGCAUAGGGUCGCUAUGAGUCAGAACUGACUCAACGGCACCUAACAACAACAACAACAAUUUUAUAGGAAGCUUCUUCUUAGUAGCCAACUUUUACCUAAAGGAAAAUUUCACAUAUAGUAGAGGUUCAAGCCAAAGUAUAAGAAAUUCACCUCCCCUCCAAACCCCCACCUUCUAAGUAAAACAAGAACAAAAAAAAAUUUUUAGGGAAAGACAUGAAAUAUGCAGUUGUGACACUUAGUACAUGUCCAUACAAAUGAAAGUUUAAUUUGGUAAUUUCUCAAAUAGAGAAAUGUCAUGGUAACGUAAUUAUGGAAUAAAGAAGUAGAUUCAUGUCCAGGACAUGGUAACAUCCUUUCCUCUUGUGUGACUUAGUGACAUUGGUUCCUGUAAAGUGUUAGCAGGUGUGGGCUGCCUUUUCGAACCUUUGGGGAUCCCCACAUUGGCUCAGUUCCUUCUCCUGAAAGACCAAAAUGCUCAUUCCUUCUAGAACGAUUUAAAGAAUGUUUAGUUUAUUUUUUGCUUUAUAAAUGCAGAGCUCCUCACAGAUGCACGAAUUAUUUAUAAGCAACCAGGAACCUCAGAAUAACCAAUAACUUUCCACUGUCAACUGUCCUCCACUGCUGGGCCUGUUAAUGAAUAGGUGUUUUGGGGCAUUGCUAAUAAUCUGCAGUGAGGGUGAAAACAGGUGGGAUUAUAAGGCUGAAGGGCUAUGCUUUCUGCCCAGUCUUUUCAGAAACUGGUUUUUCUGUGUUCUGUCACAAUUUUUGGUCCAGAAUGUUCUAAAUAAUAACUGCACUCCAGUGUCUGUUAAUGGAAAACUCUUAACAAUUACCUUCCUGGAGCCUCCAGAAAAGCCAGCAGAUUUGUUUUAACGAGGCAGGAGGGAAGACCAGCCCUGACCUUCCCCAGCAAACAUUGUCCUGCUGCCAUAAGGCAGAAGGUACUUUAACUCCAAAGUGAAUGAAAGUGACCUAUAAGUAGGCCUUCUUCCUGAGCAGAGCAGACUCUCUGUAGUAAACAUGUACCUAGUCUCCCUCCCGCUUCAGGCUGAGAGAAGAUGGGAAGCACAGUUUGGUGCACUGCACCUCACCUGCCGCCCAUUCCUUGUGAUUCUAGAGUGACUGCCAGUCAGUAAUCUCACCUGGCCGUCAGGGCAGCACCAGCUGGUAGCCCAUCAGCCUGUGAUGCCAGCUGCACUCAUCCAAAAGCCUGUCCUUUCUCCAUCCCAUGAGCCAGUGCGUUCCCUUCUUGUUUAAAUCGGUUUGAGUUCAGUUUCCCAAAAACCCUAACUACUAUCCUUCCUUUUAUGGUUUGGGUGAUUAAAUGAGAUAAUGCACUGUGGUAGGGCCUGGUACAUGGUAAGCAUUGUGUCACCUGUCAUUGUUAUGAUACUGUUGUUAGGGUGGUGGUUAUUAUUACCGUUCACUGAAACACAGGAUGAUGAGAGCUGAGCCACCCCGUCAACCUUAAGGUCACGUUAUAGGGAUUAGAUGACAUUAGAAAUGUGAAUGUGUUUAAUAAACUAAAAAGUGCAACAAGGACUUAGAAAAGGAUGCUGAUUUCCAAGAAAAAAAGAACCCUUGGGAGAACCCUCCAGUCUGGUGGCUGAGGAGAAAAUUACCUCAAAGGCAGACAGCCCAAACCUGGAGCGUGUCCCUGUGGUCUCUGGUUCCAGUUGGGUUCAAGCAGUGGUCCUUAACCUUCAUCCAUAAUUCAGCAUUUCCUGAGGAGCCUGUUAAAAUGCAGGGUGCCAGGGCUCACCCACAGAGAUUCUGGUUCAAUGGUUCUAGGUGGGCCUUGGUAAUCUGCAUUCUUAACAGGCACCUCAGGUUAUCCUGAUAGAGUUGAAAUGAUCACCAGACUUUUGGAAAACACGGGAUUACAGGAAUGGCUUGCCACUAGGUGUGCUUCAUGAUAUGUUUGGAUUGUGAUUCUUUGAAUGUAAACUCUAGAAGCAAAAAUGCGUGACCUUUAUGGGAGGAGAUAAGUUAAGAUGCCUUCAGCCUCAGCCAGACCUGUGUUUGUCAGGACGCCUUGUCACAGAUCAUUGGCCUGCACGGAUUUAUGGGCUCACAUUUAAUUUCAACUGCUAUUCAUUAAUCCUGAUGAUCUCACUUAAAUUAUUAAACAGUCAUAUUCCAAUUUCGAGGGCACUAAUUAUAUCCUUGAGAGGCUGUUAUUAUCUGGAUGAUCACAUACACUCAGCCAACACUAGAAUGUUUUCUCCUCACCCAUCAGAAUUUUAAACUUCUUCAGGACUUUUUUUUCAGUUGCUGAGCAUGUGCGUUUCAUAUGUCAAAAUCUCAGAGCCGAGGAGUUACAUGAAAUACUAGGGCAAGGGUUCUCAAAUUUUGGUGCACGUAAGAAUCACCUGGGAAGGAUGUUUAAAAUGCACGUUCCCAGGCCCCAACUGUUCAGGAGUCUAAGUAUGUGGUCUGGGUAGAGCCCAGGAAUCUGCACAUAACCAGUUCUCUGGGAACUCUAAUGCAGGGGGUCCGAGGACCUCCAGCUGAGAAAUUCUGCCUUCAGAUGAGAGCACUGGAAGGAGCUCUCGAGGAGUAUUUAGUGAUGAGUACAGUGCCCUCAUUUUUUGAAGCCCAGAGAGGGGAAAGCUUUCACAGCCCCAUGGCAGAGCCCCAGUCGUCACAGCUGGCAUGUUGUGAGGAUCAAAUGAGAUAAUAGAUGGGAAAGUGCUUUGGAAAGUAUUCAACAUGCUAUAAAUAUAAGGCAGCACUAAUAUUUUCAAACUGGAAUGGGCUAGGAACAGAAGUAGCUUGGUCCUUUCUAAAUUACCAUAAUCACCUGGCUUGAGGCCCCAACUAAACCAUAACUCUAAAUUCACCAAGCAUGGUAUAAAUUCCUCCUGAAAUGUCCAAUAAAAUUUUUUCUUUUUCUGUAAGAAUGUGCUUGGAGCCCUGCCUGGUCCUCAGUCAGAAGCUCCCUGCUUGGUCCCGUGUAUUCUGAGGUUGAUCGUAUCUCCUCCAACCUCAGGGCACCUGGUUUAAAGGUCCUGCCUUCCAGCACAUGGAUUUCUGCCCUUUCCUGGGACGUUUAAAACUCAUCCAUGAGUAUUUUUCCCCUCAAAGAGUUCCCUCUGUAUGAGCCUACUUCUGACUGCCUUCAUGGCUUCAGAAAUAGAAGAGCUCAAGUCAAGGCAUCCCAGGUCUUGGUUCUCUUAGCUUGCUUAGGUUUGCUCCAAGUGAACCUUGAGGCAAAGUUUCUUAUCCUGAGGCCACCUCAGUGUGUCUAUGCUGCUUGUCCUGCUGUCACAAUUAACUAGACAGCUCUUAGGAAAGUGUUUCCUCCUACUGGUCAGGAUCAUGCUCCCUGUAAUGUCCCUCAGCGAGGCCUACUUCUGCCCUGAGUUUCCCAGGACUCUUUCCAGGUUUUGGAAGGCCCUGUUUGUAAUCCCCCUAAGUUCCUCAACUGCAAAAUAAAUUUCUAAAAAAUAUAAUGGUGGAAUCAGUUCAGAAACAGACACUCUGGUUCUAUUCACAUUUCAACCUUUAUUUUUAAAUAUUUCUUCCACACUCCCACGGAUUCCAUCUUUUAGCAAGCUCUCCACAUGCAAAACCUUGAGUUCAGGCAUUUGCAAGUUACCCACUUGCAAAGUCUAUUCUUAAAUCUGGAGGAAAUCAGGGCUUCCCUCUGAUGAUGCCUAGGGCUGCCAGGAUCUGGAGGAAAUCAAGGCUUCCCUCUGACGAUGCCUAGGACUGCCAGGAUCUGGAGGAAAUCAAGGCUUCCCUCUGAUGAGGCCUAGGACUGCCAGGCACAUGGCCUCGGGGUUCAGACAGCGUCAGCACUGCUGUCAGGGAUCUUCACCCUCCCUGCAAGUUUUAGAAGUGAGAAAUGGGCACACAGGGCAAAGGACUUAUCUGAUGUCCUCUGGCUGGUUAAUGACAGAGUCACACUCAUUCAAGGAGCACUGGUUUCUGGCUGGGGCUGACCCUCACAAGCUGUCAGCACCCCCCCCCCCAGAAGUUAAGCGCACAGUCACACCCCCAGUCCAGGCUGUCCCCAGUGGUUAGGGUGCUGCUAGCAGGACCAGUAGUGCACAAGAGAGAGGCCUGCCAGCAACAGGUGUGGACACCCAGGAUCUGACCUUCCCCCACCUGCCUUUGUGGACUUAAUAUUUGGCUUUAACCUGACUCAUCCUUGAAUAGAUCUCUUGACUAUUGUAGUCAAGUAUCAACCCCAUUAAACAUUUUAGCCAAUUGCAGCAGUACUGAGCAACAUUCUAGUUAUUUAACAAAGGGAUUUUCCCUGACAGCUUCUUUGGGCCGUCCCCAGUGUGUGCCUAUAACUUAAUUAUGCAAACCCACCUCAGCAGUACUGGGAACCACCAGUGACCACCAGCUCCCCUAUAGAUAGUACUGCUCUUAUCACAUUGUAAAACUAUACUUUUGCAAAUUAUUUUUUUAAUUAAAUGUCUAUUUCGGCUAAAUUUUAUUUGCAUUCGUAUUUGUUAUCUUAGCCUUUUAUCCCAAGGAACCCCUCUGUAAAAACCGUACAUGGUUUGGGCUUUGGAUCAGGACUCCUGGGUCUUACGGGCCCAAGUUCUAGUGUUAGAGGAUAGGGUGACCUUAAGCUGGUUCUUAAUCUCUCCGUGCCUCAAUGAGUAAAACAAGGCAGCUUCUUCAAAGGGUUGUGCAGAUUGAUUGAGAUAUUGCAUGUAGAGGGCUUAGGACAGUGCCUGGCUCAAAGCAAGCACCCCAUAAUGGUUCUUAUUAUUUGCCUGUGCUAGGUCACCUUGGGCAAAUCCUAAUCCUCUCUGGGUCUGUUUACCCAUCUGGCAAAUGAGGAUUAGAUCUUGAUGCUUUGAGGUCCUCCCCGUAAUAUCCCCUAAUACAAAACUCUUUAUGUCCAUCUGUUCUUUCUCCUUCUUUGAUUCCCCUUUCUAGCUAUACCUUGAGGACCCCAAAACUUAGACCUUCAUUAAUAAUAAUAAUAAUAAUUUGUGAAAAUAACUAUAGUUAGUGCCACCCUUUGUGAAUUGCUUAAAAGGUCCCUAGAUGGUGCAAAUGGUUUGCGCUUGCCUGCUACUAAAGGUUGGCGGUUUGAACCCUCCCAGCAAUAUCACAAUAGAAGAGACCUGGCAAUCUGCUUCCAUUAAGAUGACAGCCAAGAAAACCUUAUGGAGCAGUUCUACCCUGCAACACAUGGGGUGGCCAUGAGUUGGAAUCAACUUGACUGCAACUAACAACAACAACAAUGAAUUGCUUGGUAUGUGUCAGGAACAGCUAAUUCAUGGUCUCAUUGGAUCCUCUGAGAUUGGUAGUAUUAUCCUGAUAUUACAGAUGAAGAGACUGGAAAUUAGAAAGGUCCAGUUCACACAGCAAGCUAAUGGCAGAGUCAGAAUCCAAACUCAAGUUUAUUUCCAUCCAGAGUGAUACACUGUUGUGUAUUACCUCCCCUGAGUGAUAGGAAUACUUAGAAAGAUUUAGUGCCUUAUAAUUCCUUCAUUUAUUUGUCAUAGAUCCACUCCCUCUUGGCUCUUUGACUUUGAAAAACAGGGGCCAGGUUAAGCUGGGACACAAUGUCUACCUAUCAGGAAAAAGAAUGAAAACCUGGACAUUUUUCUGCCAGAAUUCUCACCUUUGAUUUGCUGAGAAUUUUUCCUCCUCUAAUGCAGAGUCUGAUUUUCUUUCCCUUCAACUUUCGUGCCACUGGAAAAUUUUAAAUUAUUCAAGACAUUGAAGGUUUAUUAUCUGCUGAAAGGCUAUAAUGUAAUUGCGGGGUAUCAUUUAAAGAGCUGUCUGUCUGUGUGAACCACCUUGUCCUGAAUAUCUGCUCCUGCAUAGAGUGGGAAGAUGUAUAUUUAUUUAUCAGUGGUGCUUUAUAACUGCCUUAGAUCAAUCCUAUUAUUCUUCUCCCACGGCCCAAGCCCCAAAAUAAAUGGCUGGUGAUGCACAGAGCAUUGAAAUCAUUUAUGUAACAUCAGCCAUUUAUUUCUGUUCUGUCAUUUGCAUUUUGAUGGACAGCCAUGUGUUUGUGAAAUGCCUUUUUUUUUUUUUUUUUAAAACAGCCUUUGCUCACAUUGCCCACGUGUAAUACCAACUUGGAUAUUAAUCACCCCAAUUAGAAGAUAUCCUUUCAAAUAUUACAUCACCCUCAAGUCGUGAUAUUCACACCAUGUUUGUCGUAAAGAUAUAAAUGCUAACUCCUAUUUCAUUCUUCCUUUUGUUUCUAUAUAGAAAGAUAUGUUUUCCCAGUGUUUAUCACUAGUGACAAGAGAAAAUAUCUUUGUGGAAAGGAGCAGGGGGAGAUGCAUUAUUUUUCCCUCUGUAAAUGCCUCAUCAAUUCAGUGGCAUUGUGAGAUAAAAGUUCACCUGGUGACUUUUCCAGGUGUUGAUGUGAGGGCAAGUAGACCAGGUCUGGCUCUAGCCCUGCCAGUAAAUAGCUCUGUGACCUUGAGCAAAUUACAUCACCUUUUGUGCUUCGGUGUCUGCAGCUAUAAAGUAUAGAUGACUUGUAAAAUUCCAUCAAGCUUUAAAUUCUAGAACUCUAAGGUGACUUUCCUGACUUCUGCCCAGAGUUUCAAGUUAUAACUUGAUGCCGUAUAGUUGUCUUAAUGAAUAUAAGCUGUUUAAUACAGCACUGCCCCCCAAAACUAUUGAGUUCUGGAAAAGUUAUUUGCCCCCACACACUAAAUGACCUAGUGCACUUGGUUUCAAAAGCCCAAAUUUGGUAUUUAUGUAUUUUUUCUAAAUCUUCUCCCUCACUGCAUAACUCUUAGAUGAUGUUUACUUCAUGUCACUGCAGUGUGUCUGUCCCUGAGAGCUUUUUCCUUCUAAUUUGCUAUUUCAGAUCAGCUUUGGAACAAGAAAUCUACUUAUCAAACUUAUUAGAAUUUCAUCUAAAAUUCUAGAUAAAAAAUUCUGAAAUUCACUCAGGGUGACUCAAGGCUCUCUCACCAAUGAUUAAACUUCAUGAGCCAAGUUUAGUGGCCAGUUGGCCACGUAGAGAAUGAAGCUUUUAAUUCUAAGUGGGAAUAAUCAGGGAAGACUUCCUAGAGGAGGUGUCACUGGCUAGGGAAGGAGGUUCCCUGGGCUGAGGGAACAGCUUAAGCAAAACACAGAGGCAGAGUGGUCGAUCAGCUAUCUCAGAUAGUGAUUGUUGGGGUAUGUGUUAUGGCCUCAUGAGUGACCGACCUUUGUGUCUACGUACUGAGUGGGGAGCUCAGUAUUUCCCAGCCCCCAAGGAGAUACAUAAUCUAGCAGAGGAUUGCAGGUAGGAAACCCAGCCUGGGAGAUGUGAUUUAAAUUCUGAACUAUUAGAAUUUCCAGACGUUUAAGAAGUUCUAGAAUUUCAUUGUGGGAACAUAAUGUUUUGACCAGAACUGAUGCAUGUAAUGCAGGAUCUCUGUUCACCAUGGUUUUCAGUUAUUGAAGAGCCUUAAGCCAUGGUCCCUCUAGAGUCUCUAGAAAUGUGCCAUCCAGCCCAGUAGCCACUAGCCACAUGUGGCUGUUUAAGUUAGUUAAAAUUUAAUAAAAUUAAAAAUUCAGUUCCUCAGUCACCGAAGACACAUUUCACAUGCUCAGUAGCUUCCAUAUUCAACACAUAGAAUGACACAGAAAGUUCUGUUGGACUGCACUGCUCUAAACAGACAAGUGUAAAACUCAUGUAGCAGGAGUUAACGUUUAGUCCCCCCCAGAGCCAAAGAUGCUUGAGCCAAGGGUCUUGCUCUGUUUUCAUCACUGUUGAGGCCUGGUGAGCAAUCCUGGGUCCACAGCCCAUAGCUCAAAGUCCAUUGCACCAUGCUGGUGGGAAUGUUAAGUUGACAAUUUUUCUGAAAGCCAAUUUGACAAUAUGUAUCAAAGUUCCUUAAAAAUGAGCUCAUCCUUUCCUCUAGCAAUUGUAUGUCUAGGAACUUUCAUAAGGAAACAAUCAAAGAUGAAUAAAUAGGUGGAUGUUCGUGGAUGUUCAUUACAGUAUUGUUUAUAAUAGCAGAAACCAAUGGAAAUAGCCAGUAAUGGGAGGGGUGAGGAGCUCUGUUUUGUAGCAUUUGCUAAUUCCUGUGGUGUAAAACUCCCAUCCUGGCUGAUUGCAAGCUACCAACAUUAUGUAUGGUCGGGAAGAGAUGUUCACAAUCAGCUCUCCCCAGCCUGUACGAGCCAGCUCCAGCACAUCACUAGCAAAUAGCCUAAAGGUCUAAGAAGAGGAAACUGAUUAAAUAAAUUAUGGUAGAAAAUGUUGUGAAAUCAUUAAAAAUGUGCUGUAGGCCAGUGGUUCCAAACCUUAGCACACAUCAGAACCACCUAAAAAAAGGCUUGUUAAAAUCCAGUUUCCUGGUUCUUACCCUUUGAGUUUCUGAUUCAAUAGGUCAGGUAGCUCCCAAGAGAGAAUUUGCAUUCUUAACAGGUUCCCAGAGGAUGUUGAUGCUGCUGGUCCUGGUUCCAUGCUUUCAGAGCCGCUGCUGUAGAAGAAAAUUUGAUGGCAUGAUUUUUACCGUAUACACACACAGAAAAAUCCCAUAUUUGUAAAUAUAAAGUUAUGUAUAAAUAAUAAUAAUAGCACCAGCUACAGUUAUUGAGUUCUAAUGUGACAGAGAGGAGCCCUGAUGGCGCAGUGGUUAAGUGCUCAGCUGCUAUCCAAGAAAGGUUGGCAAUCUGAACCCACCCAGUGGCUCUGUGGGAGAAAGACCUGGCAAUUUGCUACCGUAAAGAUUAUAGCCUGGAAAACCCUAUGGGGCAAUUCUACUCUGCACAUGGGUUCACUGAGUUGGAGUCCACUCAAGGGCACCUAACAACAGCAACAACAAUGUGACAGACACUAUGCUGAGUUUUUCACAUGCAUUAUCUUAUUUAAUAACAACUGUUCUGUGAAGAAUGUAAUAUUAUUACCCCCAUUUUAUGUACAAGGAAACUGAGGCUUAGAAAAGUAAGGAAUCUUUUCCAGGGUCACACAUCUGAUAGAGUUGGGACUAGAGUUUGAACUUGACCAUUCCAACAUGUGCUUACCUGUGUCAGCACUCACCUGUGAUAGUGCUCACAUGUGUCAGCACAACACUGAAACACAACCCAAUACCCACAGUUAUUUCAAUUGAUGGGGUCACAGGAGAUUUACAUGUUUUUCUGUCUACUUUUAUGUGUUUUCCAAGUUUUCUACAAUGCAAUGUUUUUGUAAUAAAAAAUCUAACAUAGUGAACAGUAUAAAUAAGAAAAGCCAUUGUACUGUUCGUUCCCCAUCUGCACACCUUGCCCUUGGCAUCCUUGGUUUGGAAGGCUCCCCUACCUCUGUACCCAGCAGUCCAGUUUGGCUCAACUCUUGGCCCUCAGCCACUUGAGAGUUUACAAAGCUUUCACUUUUGGUAACUUGCCUGAUCCUCACAACGAUCAUAUGGAUUAGUUAUCUGACUGCUUCCAUUUUAUAGGUGAGGCGACUAAGGCUAAAUAAGGUAAAAUGACCUGCCUGCGGUUACACGGCUAAGCAGAGUGGUUUUCCCUUUAGGCAUUCACUCAUUGACUCAUUUAUUUUCUGGCUCUUGCUUCUAGUUAACAGUGUAAUUCAGUAGUUGCCAUUUAUUGAACGCUUACUUUACACUAGGUAUUCUGCUUACAUUGCUGCAUUUUAACUUCGCAGAAACCCUGAAAGGAAGAUAUUGUUACCACCGUUGUAGAGAUGAAAACAAGACGAAGAGGGGGCUAAGUGCCAUAUGUAAGGAUACACAGCCAGUAUUAAAAUUCCAAAGCACACCGUUCAUUCUGGACACACAUCUGAAUUUCUGACAUCAGCCACCUGGGCCUGAUUCUGCAACCAGCAGGGCUCACCAUGAGAAGCCUGGCUCUUUCACCCUGGCUCAGACCAGUGUUAGACACCCUGAACUUAACACAUCCCACUCUGACCGGGGUAACUCUGCACGUCCUGACAGCCCCUCCACAGGUGGACAUGAAGCUCAUCUGUUUCAUGUGGGUUUUCACCCCAGGUGCCUGGCCUUUGAGUGAGUGCUUACUGGGUGCCAGGCACAGUGCUAAGUGGUUUACUCUCAUUUCUCAUGCAAUUCUUCACAGAACCCUAUGAGUUGUGGAUAGUGUUGACUUCGUUUUGCAUAUGGAGAAGUUAAGUGACUGUCUGCAAUCACACAAAGGGGACAUUGGUGGUUCAGUGGUAGAAUUCUCAUCUUCCAUAAUGAAGGCCUGAGUUCCACUGUGACCAGUGCACCUCAAACGUAGCCACCACCCAUCAGUGGAGGCUUGGGUGUUGAUAUAAUGCUGAACAGGUUUCAGGGGAGCUUCCAGACUAAGAUAGACUAGGAAGAAAAGCCUAACAAUCUACUUCCAAAAAUCAGCCAAUGAAAACCGUAUGGAUCACAGCAGUCCUGUCCAAAACCAAUCAUGGGAAUGGUACGGGACCAGGAAGCAUUUUGUUCUGUUGAGUAUGGGGUCACCAUGAAUUGGGGGCCAACUCUGUGGCCACUAACAACAACAGGAUCAUGCAGGUAGUAAGUGGCAGGGCUGGGCACUUCCCUGGAAUGGGGAGCCCCAAGGCUAUGGCUUUAAAUAACACUUUAUAUCAUUUCACAGCUUGCCUCAGAGGCUUUGCCCAUCAGAAGGAGGAAGGGAAUUGGCCUUGGACCAGUCACUGUCACGUGCCAUUUUUUUCACACCUGUUUGUAAAGAGGCCUGUUUAAUGGCAAUUAAUGCUAUGAAGGCUUUUAAAUUGUUAACAUUAAUUGGGUAAAGCCUAUGUUGAGUGGCAAAGAUGCCAGCAGGUGUGUGAAUGGUGUCCCCGAUAGCCAGAACGAUGCCAGACCCAUAAGUGGCAUCAUUAAAUGUGUGUUGAAUUAACAGAUACAAGAGCACCUUUGAGAACUUGAAUCCAUCAAACCCACCAAUGCGCUCUCCUUCAUCUCUUCAUAUUCUAAUCUGUCCUUCUCUACUAUGGCAUCAAGACAUUAUGGGUUAGGAUAUGUUAUAAGGUGUGUCACAAGUAAUUUUGUUACUGCCAGUUCUUAAAGUACCAGUGUUUGUGAAUGUUGAGCAAAUGUAUGGCUGUCCUUUGUCUUACUUAGCCCAUAUCCUCCAGGAAACAGCCUAAGUAAUGAUUAAGGCGAUGACGCUUUAUUUGGGAGGUGCCAGCCCAAGACAGUGAGGGAGAGGGUAAAAAGGAAAAGUGAGGCAAAAAACAUGAGGCAAGCUCCAACACUCAGCAGGUGGGGCUUCUCCCAAAAGUUGAAAGGAGGAGCAGCACCCGGGAGCAGAGGCAUAACUAGGGUAUGGCAGGUAUUGCACCACCCCUCAUGGUGCCACUGAGCAGUUUUUAUUAACCCAGUAUGGCCAGCAGUAUAUCUAAGGAAAAUAGCACCUAUGGCAAGCACUGAAAUUGUGCCCUGUCCAACCAUGCUACACCCCUCUUUUAGAUAACUUUACCAUAAUAUCUCAAAAAUACAAGUCAAGCUCGUUAAUCUUUUACUUAACACAUUACCGUGCUUGAGGAAGAAUGUUGGGCCAUACCAGGUUAAUAGAAACCGCUCAGCGGAGCCAGGUGCCCAGGGCCAGUGCAAUACCCUAGAUAUGCCACUGUCUGGACAUACUCCAUGGAAGCGAGAAAGGAGGGGAAAUGUUUCUACCUGGCUCUCUCGCAUCUCCUGUUUCCCGUUGAUCAAAGUUCAAAUUAACUUCCCCACUUCCCAGUUGUGUCAUCUAGCCCUUUGGGGGCCACUCAGAAAACCCAGUCCCAGGGCCUGCACUGUGAUGUUUCAUCUGUACCCCAGUGUGACCUGAUGCAGGUCGGGUCCUGAGAAAGACAAGGACAUCUGAGAAGGCACAGGGUUUGUGUCUAAUGUAUUUUUAUAAUAAUGACACACAUUUGCUGUGCCCGGGUAGGAGAAAAAGCGAGAGCAUUACAGCUGUUAAAGUCCAGGGCAUGGGAAUUGUACAUGACCCUGGGUAUACCCACAUGAUCCCGGCAUUUCACGGCCAUCAUUAGACAUGUGUAUUAUCAUCCCAACUCUAGGUCCAGCUGACACAUUUGGGUAUUGUUUUGCUUGACUGAUUCUCAUCUCCCUGACCAGAUUUUCCAGAUAUUGUGGUACUCUUUUUUUUUUUUUUUUAGUGACUUGUGCCAGUGUUUUGCAUUCAGUCAUUAGUAAGUCAGUCCAGCAUGUGGCUUUUACUGGUAGAGUUGAAUUGUGACCCUUGGCAUCAUAGAUGUAGGAUACACCACUGAAAUUUCCUGAGCGUGUACUGUAUAUCUUGGAUUCUGUAGGGCUGGGAUGGAACAGAUGUGGAUGCUGCUACAGGUUGGGGUCAAGUGUCUGCCUCAAGGGCAAGACUUGACGUGGCCGUGAGACCCAGGCACAGAGCCCAGUCUGCCCGUCCAACCUCACCCCUAGCCCCAAGUCACCCUUGUUUCUCAUCACACCUGCCUUUUCAGCCAUAUGCCUUUCAGUUCUUCUGCCCCCUCACCUUCCUUUCCACUUUUGAGGACCAGGUUGAUCAGGUCCUUCCUCCUCCAAGAAGCCUUCUCUGAUGCUUCAGCCCAUGCUGGUCUCCUCUUCUCUGAAGGUGCUGAAAUUUGAGUGCUGAGCUUACAUGCCUGGCAUCCUACCUCCUUGGCUGGAAAGUGAGUAGGUCAAGGGCAAGUGGCCCGGCACAGUGGAAGUGGGCUGCCUUAAAAGUUUAUCAGCUAUUGAACGCUUGCUAAAUGAUGUGUUUGAGGCAGCAACUCCUAUUGUGUGUCAAAGAAAGAAGGGACUUUGUUUAUAUCCUAACUUCCUUUUUCAGUGAGAAUCUCUGAUUCCCUUAUGCUUCUCCCAGCAUUAAUAAAUUGGUUUACUCCCAUUUUGCAGAUGAGGUAACUGAAGUGCAGAGAGUAAGUCACAAAACAUAUCAGGCUUUUAGGGGACAUCUAGGUCAAUUGGCAUAAUAAAAUCUAUUAAGAAAACAUUCUGCAUCCCACUUUGGAGAGUGGCAUCUGGAGACUUAAACGCUAGCAGGCAGCCAUCUAAGACGCAUCAACUGAUCUCAACCCACCUGGAGCAAAGGAGAAUGAAGAACACGAAUGACACAAGAUAAUUAUGAGACCAAGAGACAGAAAGGGCCACAUAAACCAGAGACUACAUCAGCCUGAGACCAGAAGAACCAGAUGGCGCCCAGCUACAACUGAUGACUGCCCUGACAGGGUACACAACAGACAACCCCUGAGGGAGCAGGAGAACAGCGGGAUGCACACCUCAAAUUCUUGUAAAAAGACCAGAUUUAAUGGUCUGACUGAGACUAGAAGGACCCCAGAGGUCAUGGUCCCCAGACUUUUUGUUAGCCCAAAGAGGAACCAUUCCCAAAGCCAACUCUUCAGACAGGGAUUGGAUUGGGCUAUGGGAUAGGAAAUGAUACUGAUGAGGAGUGAGCUUCUUGGAUCAAGUAGACACAUGAGACUAUGUAGGUAGCUCCUGUCUAGGGGAUGGGAGAUGAAGAGGGCAGAGGGGGUCAGAAGCCAGCUGAGUGGACAUGAAAAUAGAGUGGAGGGAAGGAGUGUGCUGUCUCAUUAGGGGGAGAGCAACUAGGAGUAUAUAGCAAGGUGUGUAUAAAUUUUUGUAUGAGAGACUGCCUUGAUUUAUAAUCUUUCAGUUAAAGAACAAUAAAAAAUUUUUUUAAAAAUGAGACUUAAGAGGCACACCAGCCCAGGAACAAGGACCAGAAGGCAGGAGGGGACAGGAAAGCUGGUAGUAGGGAACCCGAGGUUUAGAAGGAGAGUCUUGCCAUGUCGUGGGGUUGUUAACCAAUGUCAUAAAAAAAAUCUGUACUGUUUAAUGAGAAGCUAGUUUGUUCUGUAAAUCUUCAUCUAAAGUACAACAAAAAAUAAGAAAAAAAUGAGCAUGCAAAAUAAAAGGUAGUGUAGUGUACCAAAAAAAAACACAUCAGGCAGACUACAGACACCAUCCCUCUUUCCCUUUCUCGCUACAGUGUGGUGAAGUCAGCUAUAUAAAAAACAUUUUAAAACCUAAUGCCAUGGAGUCAAUUCCAACUCACACCGACCCUGUAGGACAGAGUAGAACUGCGCCGUAGGGUUUUCAAGGCUGUAAUCUUCAUGGAAGCAGACUGCCAUAUUUUUUUCCCACAGAGAGGCUGGUGGGUUCUAACCGCCAAACUUUUGGUUAGCAGCCAAAUGCUUAACCAGUGCACCACCAGGGCUCUUGGCUACAUUUUA